rnacentral:sRNA from 1 species
ACUCUCUUAUGCUGGUGCACGAGAGUCUUGACCUCCAUCUUAGGCAUAGAAGAUGAAGUGCGCACAGGGACCUACAGGCAGCUCUUCCACCCGGAGCAGCUGAUCACCGGGAAGGAAGAUGCAGCCAAUAAUUACGCCAGGGGCCAUUACACCAUCGGCAAGGAGAUUGUUGACCUAGUCCUGGACCGGAUCCGCAAACUGGCGGAUCUGUGCACAGGACUGCAGGGCUUCCUCAUCUUCCACAGCUUUGGGGGUGGCACUGGCUCUGGGUUCGCAUCUCUGCUCAUGGAGCGGCUCUCAGUGGAUUACGGCAAGAAGUCCAAGCUAGAGUUUGCCAUUUACCCAGCCCCCCAGGUCUCCACAGCCGUGGUGGAGCCCUACAACUCCAUCCUGACCACCCACACGACCCUGGAACAUUCUGACUGUGCCUUCAUGGUCGACAACGAAGCCAUCUAUGACAUAUGUCGGCGC